AGAAAAAAGCAGGUCGAAGGGGAAGGGUCUGCACAAACACCGCUCGCCAUCGUGAAUUUUAUGCACUGUGUCAAGGGCGCGUAGGCGCAGUAGCGACAGAUAAUGUUUGGCGGUGGUGAGGAGUACUUCCAGGACCCCCCGGAGAUCGAUCGGGACACGCUUGGUCGCUACGCCACCUUCUGCGCUCGCCUACGCGCCAUUGAGAAACCUGGCAAAAGGACCAUCACCGAAGCCGCCACUCUGGCGCGCGAAGUCGGCGACACCCUCCUUGACUACGAGCUCGUCGUCGGUGCACUCUUCCGACAUAUCAAGACGUGGACAGGCCAGAAGCAACUCGCGUGCUGGUAUAUACUUGACAAGCUGUGUAAGGAGGACCGUGACAAGUACGGCUACACUGCCGGCAAGUACAUACUAGAGGUCGGACGAGACCACAUCCCUUACGAGGAUGCUGAUCUCGCCGGCAAGUACGAGAGCCUCGUGGAGCACUGGGAAAAUGUUUUUCCGCGUCAUGUCGUCGAUGCGCUGUGGAUCGCCAAAAAGGAGCGCCUUUGGGCCGUCGACCACCCGACCGAGGUGAAGCAGCAGCAGCAGGCGGAAGAGGAGGAGUGGGCGCGCGAGGAGGAGGUGAUGCAGGACGAAGACGGCCUUAACGACUUUGGCCAGCCAUGCAUCGACUACCUGCAGGGACACUGCAGCUGGGGCGACAGCUGUCGUCUGUACCACCCGCCCGGUGAGGAGGGCUCGCUGCCAGCAGAGUGCCGGAUGGGGGACUGGAAGUGCUCGGCAUGCGGCGUCAUCAAUCGGCACUUUCGACGUCGGUGCUCCAACUGCGUGCGUGAGAAGCCGCAGUACAAGAAAGGGCGCGUACCGUCAGCGGAGGAUAAGCUGCUCUGCACGCCAGACCCGGCAGUGACGGCCGCCUUUCAUCAGCAGUUUGGUUACAACCCGUACAUGCCAGCGGAGGCGGUAGCGCACUUCAAGCUGCGCCUAGAGGGUGUGUCGGCGGAGGAGUACCGCAAGGAGCGCGCGGCAGCGUACCGCGUGCGCAUUCUCGGCAAGGCUCCCACUAACCCCGUCGAGGAGCGUUGCAAGGCGACGAAGCACUUCCCCGACAUCGACAUGGAGCCAGACGAGGAGUACGAGGUGGGCACGGACGGGCUCGUGGCGAAGCGGCAGCGCACCGAGAGCCUCGUGCCCGCGAACGCCUCGCCCAAUAGCGCUAUCGCGCUUCUCGCGCAGCUCGUCAUGGAACGUGGCAUUUUGGACCCGACCGUCCCGCAAAUUUUCGGCGAGCUUUCCCGGUACAUCCGCCAGGCUGCUGGUGACCCAGCAAUGGAGCUCAACGAAACUCAGGCGGAGGUGCUGCUGUCUGCUUGCAAGCUGGGCUUCACCGCGUGGAAUGCGAACAAAGGCGCCGUUCCUUCCGUCGCCACUUUCUUCAAGGCAGUUCGGCAUAAUGAAAGUAAGCUGGGGCUCUCCAGUGAGCAGGCGGAGCAGCUGGAGUCCAUGGCCAGCAUGUUCUUGGCGUGAGAAACGCGAAGAAAACCAAAGAGGAAGUCCAUCGUGUGUGUGUGUGUGUGUGUGUGUGUUACAAGUCUCCUUUUGCGCUUGUUUUGCGUCACCGCGAGAACACGCGCAUACAGACACGCACACACACACACACACAUCACUACCCGGUUGAAGCCAGGCAGGAAGGUGAAAGGGUGUGUGCGCGGUAUCGUCUCGUCGGCACGCCCUCGUGGCGUCGCUUUCUUGUGUGUGUGCGUGUGUGUUGAGCAGUGCUGUGCGCGGAACAUGGAGGAAUGUCAGUUGCCUGUUUGACGUACGCAUAUGAAAGGAAAAAAAAACUAAGAGAACAAGACGGUGUGGCGGCACUCAUGAAUUCUCUCACCUCUGCGUAGAUGUAUAGAGUGGUACCAUUUUCUUUUCUGUGCGCGUUUGCGUGUAUCAAGGGAGGCGAAUCCAUAUGCGACUUUGCCGCUGUUGUUCGCCGGCAUUCAUUGACUGUCCGCAGCCCCCACAAGGUGCGAGUAUGAUCCCCUCGUCGCAGUUCAACUUGUUUUAUUUUUUUACGAGCAAUGACGGGCUUGUCUCUCUCGCGCGCGCCGCUUCUCCCUCUCCCUCUCCCGCCUCCUGUUUUUGGUUUCCGCCCCUCAUGUCACCGUGCAG
rnacentral:misc_RNA from 1 species